UACGUAGGGCGCAAGCGUUGUCCGGAAUUAUUGGGCGUAAAGAGCUCGUAGGCGGUCUGUCGCGUCCGUUGUGAAAACUCGAGGCUCAACCUCGGGCUUGCAGUGGAUACGGGCAGACUAGAGUGCGGUAGGGGAGACUGGAAUUCCCGGUGUAGCAGUGAAAUGCGUAGAUAUCAGGAGGAACACCUGUGGUGUAGACAGCUUACUGGACCACUUCUGACGCUGAGACACGAAAGCGUGGGUAGCAAACAGG
rnacentral:rRNA from 1 species